rfam:Camelus ferus unplaced genomic scaffold scaffold2048, whole genome shotgun sequence.
GGAGGAUACAGCUCAGAGGCAGAGUGUAUGCUUAGCAGGCAUGAGGUCCUGGGUUCAACCCCCAGUACCUCCG